rnacentral:misc_RNA from 1 species
GCAGAUAUAGGUUUGUGGAAAAUCAAGACAAUAGCCGAAAGCAUAACUACAGUUUUGAUCUUACUUUCUCAAUAAGCUCCCUUCUCAGGAUUUUUCCAGCAGCAGAUUUCGGCACACUGUUCACAAAAGUUACCCUCCUCAAUCUCUUGAAAGGUGCAACCUGCUGUGCAAUGAAUUUCUGAACAUCCUCUUCAGUCAGCACACUCGUGGGAGAUCUGAUUACAUAGGCAAUUGGAACCUCGCCAGCCUCAGCAUCAGGGAAUGGAAUGACAACUGCAUCGAGUAUCUCUGGAUGAGAAAGGAGCAGGCCUUCAAGCUCAGCAGGUGCAACCUGAAAUCCUUUGUAUUUGAUGAGUUCUUUUAUCCGAUCUACAACAAAUAGUUGUCCCACUUCAUCG